GGAUCUACUUCUAUCGUCUCUCUCUGACUGACUGUCCACUUUGUGUCUUAGAAGCUGCUGAGUUGACAUCUUUAGUCUAAAGAUGAUGGACAAACUGUCUGUCCUGCUGACGGUGAUCUGUCUGCCCUGUUUUAACAGUCAGGCUCUGGAGUCCAUUCCCUCCACUUCAGUGUUGAAAAAACCUCAGGAAAGCCUCAGUCUUUCCUGCCGGGGAUCAGGUUUUGAUUUUAGUCAGUAUGGGAUGCACUGGAUCAGACAGCCUGCAGGGAAAGCUCUUGAAUGGAUGGGGCUUAUUUACUAUGAUGCAAGUAAAACAAACUAUGCAAGCAGUGUGCAAGGACGUAUAGAGAUCACCAGAGAUAACAGCAACAGCAUGGUGUAUCUGAGUCUGUCCAACCUGAAGCAGGAAGACUCUGCUGUUUAUUACUGUGCUGGAUAUCCACACUGUUUAAUAUAAGGGUGAAGUCUGUACAAAAACCUCAAACAUCUUGUUCUUACAAACACC